UGUGUACAGACACAUCCCCACUUGAAGC
rnacentral:piRNA from 1 species